GACGAACGCUGGCGGCGUGCUUAACACAUGCAAGUCGAACGGAAAGGCCCUGCUUUUGUGGGGUGCUCGAGUGGCGAACGGGUGAGUAACACGUGAGUAACCUGCCCUUGACUUUGGGAUAACUUCAGGAAACUGGGGCUAAUACCGGAUAGGAGCUCCUGCUGCAUGGUGGGGGUUGGAAAGUUUCGGCGGUUGGGGAUGGACUCGCGGCUUAUCAGCUUGUUGGUGGGUAGUGGCUUACCAAGGCUUUGACGGGUAGCCGGCCUGAGAGGGUGACCGGCCACAUUGGGACUGAGAUACGGCCCAGACUCCUACGUGAGGCAGCAGUGGGGAAUAUUGCACAAUGGGCGGAAGCCUGAUGCAGCAACGCCGCGUGCGGGAUGACGGCCUUCGGGUUGUAAACCGCUUUCGCCUGUGACGAAGCGUGAGUGACGGUAAUGGGUAAAGAAGCACCGGCUAACUACGUG
rnacentral:rRNA from 1 species